UACGGGAGGCAGCAGUGAGGAAUAUUGGUCAAUGGACGCAAGUCUGAACCAGCCACGUCGCGUGAAGGAAGACGGCCCUACGGGUUGUAAACUUCUUUUGUAAGGGAAUAAAGUGCAGUACGCGUACUGUUUUGCAAGUACCUUGCGAAUAAGGAUCGGCUAACUCCGUGCCAGCAGCCGCGGUAAUACGGAGGAUCCGAGCGUUAUCCGGAUUUAUUGGGUUUAAAGGGUGCUCAGGCGGGGGAUUAAGUCGGCGGUGAAAUUUUGCAGCUCAACUGUAAAAGUGCCUUCGAAACUGGUUUCCUUGAGUGUGGAUGAGGUAGGCGGAAUUUGUGGUGUAGCGGUGAAAUGCAUAGAUAUCACGAGGAACUCCGAUUGCGCAGGCAGCUUACUAAGCCAUAACUGACGCUCAAGCACGAAGGCGUGGGGAUCAAACAGGAUUAGAUACCCUGGUAGUCCACGCAGUAAACGAUGAUUACUGGCUGUUUGCGAUAUAAUGUAAGCGGCUGAGCGAAAGCGUUAAGUAAUCCACCUGGGGAGUACGUUCGCAAGAAUGAAACUCAAAGGAAUUGACGG
rnacentral:rRNA from 1 species